rnacentral:rRNA from 1 species
CAUAGGUUAAUGAGGCGAACCGGGGGAACUGAAACAUCUAAGUACCCCGAGGAAAAGAAAUCAACCGAGAUUCCCCCAGUAGCGGCGAGCGAACGGGGAGGAGCCCAGAGCCUGAAUCAGCAUGUGUGUUAGUGGAAGCGUCUGGAAAGGCGCGCGAUACAGGGUGACAGCCCCGUACACAAAAGCGCAUGUGCUGUGAGCUCGAUGAGUAGGGCGGGACACGUGGUAUCCUGUCUGAAUAUGGGGGGACCAUCCUCCAAGGCUAAAUACUCCUGACUGACCGAUAGUGAACCAGUACCGUGAGGGAAAGGCGAAAAGAACCCCGGCGAGGGGAGUGAAAAAGAACCUGAAACCGUGUACGUACAAGCAGUGGGAGCCCCACCACUAAGCCAGUGGUGAACUCCACAUACGCAUCCUUUGCUGAGGAUACGGUUAACGGAGCG